UGUCUUUAGAUCCGGAGUUUAAGAGGUAACAUUCUUCCCCAAGACGUAUAGAGUUUAAUGGGAACAAUGUCUUGUUUAUAUAAAUUGAGUGACCACUGUAUCUCUUAUAUUUUGAGAAUUGGGUUCUGGGAAUUGUCCACUUUUCUUGGAUUUCACUUUGUUAAA